rnacentral:rRNA from 1 species
UACAGGGGGGGCAAGCGUUGUUCGGAAUUACUGGGCGUAAAGGGUCUGUAGGUGGCCAACUAAGUCAGACGUGAAAUCCCUCAGCUUAACUGGGGAACUGCGUCUGAUACUGGAUGGCUCGAGUGUGGGAGAGGAAUGCGGAAUUCCAGGUGUAGCGGUGAAAUGCGUAGAUAUCUGGAGGAACACCGAUUGCGAAGGCAGCUCACAAAACUGUAACUGACGCUGAGGCACGAAAGUGCGGGGAUCAAACAGG